CGUAGGGUGCGAGCGUUAAUCGGAAUUACUGGGCGUAAAGCGUGCGCAGGCGGUUUGUUAAGAUAGGCGUGAAAUCCCCGGGCUCAACCUGGGAAUUGCGAUGGAGACUGCAAGGCUAGAAUCUGGCAGAGGGGGGUAGAAUUCCACGUGUAGCAGUGAAAUGCGUAGAGAUGUGGAGGAACACCGAUGGCGAAGGCAGCCCCCUGGGUCAAGAUUGACGCUCAUGCACGAAAGCGUGGGGAGCAAACAGGAUUAGAUACCCUGGUAGUCCACGCCCUAAACGAUGUCUACUAGUUGUCGGGUUUUAAUUAACUUGGUAACGCAGCUAACGCGUGAAGUAGACCGCCUGGGGAGUACGGUCGCAAGAUUA
rnacentral:rRNA from 1 species